UUUCCGUAGGUGAACCUGCGGAAGGAUCAUUGUCACACAUCCUAAUGGAUGCUUGUGCCAACAAGCAGACCCAGCGAACCAUUCUCCUAUCACUUGAGGGGCUGCAUCGCGGGGUGCAGCUGUCGGCGGUCGGGCCCUUGCUUCAGGGGCCGGAGUCCUUGCAGGGUUCACCGUUGCGGGUGAGCACCGGCCGUCCGACGGGGGCCGCUCUUGGGCCUCGCACACGGGAGAGUGCGGGGGCGGCGUUUCCCACUCCAGCUGUCCCAUCCGGGGCAGCUGCGCAACCAACCAAAACACUAUGCAAAAACCGACUGAAGACCGAUCCUUUGCGGGGCGCCUUCGGGAGCCCUGCCUCGGAUCAAAAACAAACUAAAGACAACUCUCAACAACGGAUAUCUUGGCUCUC
rnacentral:misc_RNA from 1 species